GGCCGACGGCGGGCGCGGACGGCUGUGCCGACAGCAGGGCGGCGGCGCCGGCCGCGGCGGCGCGCGGGCGGGUUCCUCCCGCGUCGGCCA
rnacentral:tRNA from 1 species